rnacentral:tRNA from 1 species
AGGGACUUGGUGAGGCCGAUGAUGCCGGCCUUGGCGGAGCCGUAGUUCACCUGGCCGAUCGUGCCGGUCAGCCCCGC